UGCUUCUUCUGCCGUGUAUAUUCUGCUUUGCAGCCUCCUCUGUCUCAUCUGACCAACAUGCCCAGAUCUAACUUCUUUUCUGGUCAGGGCUCUUCUAGAAAGAGGUUGUUUUAGCAAGAAAAAACUAGGCACAGUUCAUACAAGAGCCAUAGGGUGUGUGUGUGUCUGUCUGUCCGUCUGUCUGCCCAUGCGAGUAGUUUCCUGUGAGAAUACCCAGUCAUGGGUGCAAAAGGUAGGCCUUAGGCCCUGCACCGGAGCAAAGAAGUACCCUGUAACAGGCAGGUUGCAGACGGCCAUGGCCAAACCCCUUACAGGCUCCCCGGGGCGGUGCUAGUGUUCGAAGAUAAGCCUCAGAAAGAUAAACCUGAAGACCGAAUGAGAAAGAAAAAGAGAAAAUGAUCCUUCACCUUUUCUAAUCACCAUUUUUCAUCUUUUAUCAAAUGGUUUUCUGAGGAAGAAGUUGUACAAGGGUGGAAUAUAUUGUAUCUCUGAGACUGGCAACCCCGAGGGGCCUCCAGCUGUGUCUACUCGAAGGUGUGCAAGCUCUUUUAGGAAGACCGGGUGGAAUACAGUGACACAAUGGACCAGACCUCUGCCAGAUACACUACUUCACCAACGGUCAGUUCUGCCUCUCAUAGAGUCCCAGUGCAUGAGUCUGAUGUCCUUCAGCCAAGGUCCUUGUCAUUUCAUAGUGAGGCCAGCCUUUUCCCCCCGUUUGCAAUAUUAUGUUCCUCAUCUCCAUCGAAUACG
rnacentral:lncRNA from 1 species